rnacentral:lncRNA from 1 species
AGAGAAAGCCCAGGCCACUUCAGCAUUCCGGGGACAAGGCAUGGGACAUCUGCGGACCAUCAGGCCAGGGAGGCAGCCAGGCUCUCAAGCUGUGGAUGUGCUGGGUCCCCGCAGUGCCCACCUACCUGCCCUGAUGACACCGUUUGGGGUCUUCCUGUCCCCAGACUCCCUGGCCCAAACAUUCCUCCAAGCCGACAUAGGUGCUCCAGGGGCAGCCGGAUGGAGUCGUGUUCCACUGUGCAAGUGAUAAAAUGGGGCCUGGUCCCCUCUUCUGGGCUGUGCUGGUCAACCAUGUUCCCCUUCAGGGUCUGCUGUUCAUGGAAGCAUCUUACCAUAGAGUGGAUUACUAAAUUAUUUGACUGCAGAGACACAACAGAGAGAGAGCCUUCACCAAAGCUGCCAGUGGAGAGAGAGGAAGCUCUCAAUCGCUCAUUAUUCUCCUUCCUGCCUAACACAGCAAAAGGAAAAACCCAGAGAAAACCAACCUCCUGACAGGCCUGCGCCUUCAGACAGCUCCGAACAUUAAAUACUCUAGAGCUC